rnacentral:rRNA from 1 species
UACGGAGGAUGCGAGCGUUAUCCGGAUUUAUUGGGUUUAAAGGGUGCGCAGGUUGUUUGAUAAGUCAGUGGUGAAAGUCUGUCGCUUAACGGUAGGAUUGCCAUUGAUACUGUUAGACUUGAAUAUGGAUGAGGUAGGCGGAAUGUGUAGUGUAGCGGUGAAAUGCAUAGAUAUUACACAGAACACCGAUUGCGAAGGCAGCUUACUAAUCCAUCAUUGACGCUGAGGCACGAAAGCGUGGGGAUCAAACAGGA